rnacentral:lncRNA from 10 species
UGAAGACGGAGGUGGGUUCUGGACAGACCUACGCUGUCAGGGAGUGUUUACUUCGCCUACACUUCUGUUCCUCCCCGCCCUGGUGCUGCUCCAGGUCACAUACUCGUCCUGAGCUGGCUUCAGAAGUCUCCCGGAGCCAUGGCCUAGUACUCUUAUGUGAAGUCUACCAAGCUUGUGCUCAAGGGAACCGAGAUUUGCCUGAGGUUGACUGUACAUACAAAUAUUGAGCAUUUCCUCCUGGCCUCCGUGAUAAACAGAAGUUUUGAUAUUGUUAGGCGUAAGAAGAAAAAGAGCAAAGAUAAGAAGAGAAAAAGAGAAGAAGAUGAA